rnacentral:rRNA from 5 species
UUUGGUGGCGAUAGCGAAGAGGUCACACCCGUUCCCAUGCCGAACACGGAAGUUAAGCUCUUCAGCGCCGAUGGUAGUCGGGGGUUUCCCCCUGUGAGAGUAGGACGCUGCCAAGC